AAAGAAACAAACAUGGAUAGCCCCAGUAACGGCGAGUGAAGCGGCUACAGCUCAAAUUUGAAAUCUGGCCCUCUUUGGGGGUCCGAGUUGUAAUUUGCAGAGGAUGCUUCGGCAUUGGCGGCGGUCUAAGUUCCCUGGAACAGGACAUCGCAGAGGGUGAGAAUCCCGUACGUGGGCGCCUGCCAUUGCCGUGUGAAGCUCCUUCGACGAGUCGAGUUGUUUGGGAAUGCAGCUCUAAAUGGGAGGUAAAUUUCUUCUAAAGCUAAAUACCGGCCAGAGACCGAUAGCGCACAAGUAGAGUGAUCGAAAGAUGAAAAGUACUUUGGAAAGAGAGUCAAACAGCACGUGAAAUUGUUGAAAGGGAAGCGCUUGCAGCCAGACGUGCCCGCAGUUGCUCACCCAGGCUCCGGCCCGGGGCACUCUUCUGCGGGCAGGCCAGCAUCGGUUCGGGCGGUCGGAUAAAGGCCUCUGUCAAGUACCUUCCUUCGGGUUGGCCUUAUAGGGGAGGCGCAAUGCGACCAGCCGGGACCGAGGUCCGCGCAUCUGCUAGGAUGCUGGCGUAAUGGCUGUAAGCGGCCCGUCUUGAAACACGGAUCAAGGAGUCUAACAUCUAUGCGAGUGUUUGGGUGUCAAGCCCGGGCGCGCAAUGAAAGUGAACGGAGGUGGGAACCCCUCGGGGCGCACCAUCGACCGAUCCUGAAGUCUUCGGAUGGAUUUGAGUACGAGCAUAGCUGUUGGGACCCGAAAGAUGGUGAACUAUGCUUGAAUAGGGUGAAGCCAGAGGAAACUCUGGUGGAGGCUCGCAGCGGUUCUGACGUGCAAAUCGAUCGUCAAAUUUGGGCAUAGGGGCGAAAGACUAAUCGAAC
rnacentral:rRNA from 1 species